GUAGGGCGGGACACGUGGUAUCCUGUCUGAAUAUGGGGGGACCAUCCUCCAAGGCUAAAUACUCCUGACUGACCGAUAGUGAACCAGUACCGUGAGGGAAAGGCGAAAAGAACCCCGGCGAGGGGAGUGAAAAAGAACCUGAAACCGUGUACGUACAAGCAGUGGGAGCCUCUUUAUGGGGUGACUGCGUACCUUUUGUAUAAUGGGUCAGCGACUUAUAUUCUGUAGCAAGGUUAACCGAAUAGGGGAGCCGAAGGGAAACCGAGUCUUAACUGGGCGUUAAGUUGCAGGGUAUAGACCCGAAACCCGGUGAUCUAGCCAUGGGCAGGUUGAAGGUUGGGUAACACUAACUGGAGGACCGAACCGACUAAUGUUGAAAAAUUAGCGGAUGACUUGUGGCUGGGGGUGAAAGGCCAAUCAAACCGGGAGAUAGCUGGUUCUCCCCGAAAGCUAUUUAGGUAGCGCCUCGUGAAUUCAUCUCCGGGGGUAGAGCACUGUUUCGGCAAGGGGGUCAUCCCGACUUACCAACCCGAUGCAAACUGCGAAUACCGGAGAAUGUUAUCACGGGAGACACACGGCGGGUGCUAACGUCCGUCGUGAAGAGGGAAACAACCCAGACCGCCAGCUAAGGUCCCAAAGUCAUGGUUAAGUGGGAAACGAUGUGGGAAGGCCCAGACAGCCAGGAUGUUGGCUUAGAAGCAGCCAUCAUUUAAAGAAAGCGUAAUAGCUCACUGGUCGAGUCGGCCUGCGCGGAAGAUGUAACGGGGCUAAACCAUGCACCGAAGCUGCGGCAGCGACACUAUGUGUUGUUGGGUAGGGGAGCGUUCUGUAAGCCUGUGAAGGUGGCCUGUGAGGGUUGCUGGAGGUAUCAGAAGUGCGAAUGCUGACAUAAGUAACGAUAAAGCGGGUGAAAAGCCCGCUCGCCGGAAGACCAAGGGUUCCUGUCCAACGUUAAUCGGGGCAGGGUGAGUCGACCCCUAAGGCGAGGCCGAAAGGCGUAGUCGAUGGGAAACAGGUUAAUAUUCCUGUACUUGGUGUUACUGCGAAGGGGGGACGGAGAAGGCUAUGUUGGCCGGGCGACGGUUGUCCCGGUUUAAGCGUGUAGGCUGGUUUUCCAGGCAAAUCCGGAAAACCAAGGCUGAGGCGUGAUGACGAGGCACUACGGUGCUGAAGCGACAAAUGCCCUGCUUCCAGGAAAAGCCUCUAAGCAUCAGGUAACAUCAAAUCGUACCCCAAACCGACACAGGUGGUCAGGUAGAGAAUACCAAGGCGCUUGAGAGAACUCGGGUGAAGGAACUAGGCAAAAUGGUGCCGUAACUUCGGGAGAAGGCACGCUGAUAUGUAGGUGAAGCGACUUGCUCGUGGAGCUGAAAUCAGUCGAAGAUACCAGCUGGCUGCAACUGUUUAUUAAAAACACAGCACUGUGCAAACACGAAAGUGGACGUAUACGGUGUGACGCCUGCCCGGUGCCGGAAGGUUAAUUGAUGGGGUUAGCGGUAACGCGAAGCUCUUGAUCGAAGCCCCGGUAAACGGCGGCCGUAACUAUAACGGUCCUAAGGUAGCGAAAUUCCUUGUCGGGUAAGUUCCGACCUGCACGAAUGGCGUAAUGAUGGCCAGGCUGUCUCCACCCGAGACUCAGUGAAAUUGAACUCGCUGUGAAGAUGCAGUGUACCCGCGGCAAGACGGAAAGACCCCGUGAACCUUUACUAUAGCUUGACACUGAACAUUGAGCCUUGAUGUGUAGGAUAGGUGGGAGGCUUUGAAGUGUGGACGCCAGUCUGCAUGGAGCCGACCUUGAAAUACCACCCUUUAAUGUUUGAUGUUCUAACGUUGGCCCGUAAUCCGGGUUGCGGACAGUGUCUGGUGGGUAGUUUGACUGGGGCGGUCUCCUCCUAAAGAGUAACGGAGGAGCACGAAGGUUGGCUAAUCCUGGUCGGACAUCAGGAGGUUAGUGCAAUGGCAUAAGCCAGCUUGACUGCGAGCGUGACGGCGCGAGCAGGUGCGAAAGCAGGUCAUAGUGAUCCGGUGGUUCUGAAUGGAAGGGCCAUCGCUCAACGGAUAAAAGGUACUCCGGGGAUAACAGGCUGAUACCGCCCAAGAGUUCAUAUCGACGGCGGUGUUUGGCACCUCGAUGUCGGCUCAUCACAUCCUGGGGCUGAAGUAGGUCCCAAGGGUAUGGCUGUUCGCCAUUUAAAGUGGUACGCGAGCUGGGUUUAGAACGUCGUGAGACAGUUCGGUCCCUAUCUGCCGUGGGCGCUGGAGAACUGAGGGGGGCUGCUCCUAGUACGAGAGGACCGGAGUGGACGCAUCACUGGUGUUCGGGUUGUCAUGCCAAUGGCACUGCCCGGUAGCUAAAUGCGGAAGAGAUAAGUGCUGAAAGCAUCUAAGCACGAAACUUGCCCCGAGAUGAGUUCUCCCUGACUCCUUGAGAGUCCUGAAGGAACGUUGA
rnacentral:rRNA from 1 species